rnacentral:lncRNA from 1 species
GGGAGAGAGUAGGCUAUUCUGUAUAGGGCAUGUAUUUUUGUGUAGUUCCAGUACCUGGGAGUGAAGAAAGAGAUAAUAGUACUUCCGGGUUUGGAGCGAGUAGUCGCGCUGCACUCCGCUCCGCAGAGCUCUGUGAAAGCCUGUCUGCGGAUGAAGAGAUCCCAGUGAAGAAAAGUGGUUCUCAGUCCUGGUCCUGGGGCCUCAAAGAUACCUUGCAACUGGAGAUUCCUUCAAAACGAUUGCCUAAAGUUACCGUGUAGGGCAUUGCACCAUUGGGUGACCAGGGCUAUCUGGGACUGCCUUGUGGGGGAAUUCAGGUGUGUGUGAAGGCUACCUGUGUCCUGCAUAACUUCAUGAGGAUGGACACGAGGACCAGAAGGCGAUCUGCAGCACGUCGCCUUGUGCAAGAGUGGCUCCUUCCACCUUCAAAGAAUGGGCAAGAGGACCAACCAUGAAGAAUGGUUAUAUCAGCUGUGCUGGUGAACCCCUCCCGCAUCUGAACUGGCUACAUAGAGGGCACAGCAUGAUCAGAGGGGAGAGGUAUGUUUUGAUGUGAGAGAGGCUGCCAACGCCCAGUCCCGUCAUCGCCACCUCACCCUCUCUUAACUCUUUUAAGAUAACCUUCUGGGCCAACUAGGUGCCCAAAGCUGGUUAGGAGACACUGCUAGAGACACUAUUAUGUAAUUGUGAUGACCUGAGAGUAGCACUGUAAUUCAUUAAUCAUAUGCUGUCUUCCCUUCUCCUCUGCUGUUACCUC